AUCCAACCUGCCCUUUACUCGGGGAUAGCCUUUCGAAAGAAAGAUUAAUACCCGAUGGCAUAAUGAUUCCGCAUGGUUUCAUUAUUAAAGGAUUCCGGUAAAGGAUGGGGAUGCGUUCCAUUAGGUUGUUGGUGGGGUAACGGCCCACCAAGCCUUCGAUGGAUAGGGGUUCUGAGAGGAAGGUCCCCCACAUUGGAACUGAGACACGGUCCAAACUCCUACGGGAGGCAGCAGUGAGGAAUAUUGGUCAAUGGGCGCUAGCCUGAACCAGCCAAGUAGCGUGAAGGAUGAAAGCUCUAUGGGUCGUAAACUUCUUUUAUAUAAGAAUAAAGUGCAGUAUGUAUACUGUUUUGUAUGUAUUAUAUGAAU
rnacentral:rRNA from 1 species